rnacentral:rRNA from 1 species
GACGAACGCUGGCGGCGUGCCUAAUACAUGCAAGUAGAACGCUGAAGAGAGGAGCUUGCUCUUCUUGGAUGAGUUGCGAACGGGUGAGUAACGCGUAGGUAACCUGCCUGGUAGCGGGGGAUAACUAUUGGAAACGAUAGCUAAUACCGCAUGAUAUUAAUUAUUGCAUGAUAAUUGAUUGAAAGAUGCAAUUGCAUCACUACCAGAUGGACCUGCGUUGUAUUAGCUAGUUGGUGAGGUAACGGCUCACCAAGGCGACGAUACAUAGCCGACCUGAGAGGGUGAUCGGCCACACUGGGACUGGGACACGGCCCAGACUCCUACGGGAGGCAGCAGUAGGGAAUCUUCGGCAAUGGGGGGAACCCUGACCGAGCAACGCCGCGUGAGUGAAGAAGGUUUUCGGAUCGUAAAGCUCUGUUGUAAGAGAAGAACGGGUGUGAGAGUGAAAAGUUCACACUGUGACGGUAUCUUACCAGAAAGGGACGGCUAACUACGUGCCAGCAGCCGCGGUAAUACGUAGGUCCCGAGCGUUGUCCGGAUUUAUUGGGCGUAAAGCGAGCGCAGGCGGUUAGAUAAGUCUGAAGUUAAAGGCUGUGGCUUAACCAUAGUAUGCUUUGGAAACUGUUUAACUUGAGUGCAGAAGGGGAGAGUGGAAUUCCAUGUGUAGCGGUGAAAUGCGUAGAUAUAUGGAGGAACACCGGUGGCGAAAGCGGCUCUCUGGUCUGUAACUGACGCUGAGGCUCGAAAGCGUGGGGAGCAAACAGG